UACCAGCACCCCGAGUGGUCGGGACGUUUAUUGGGCCUAAAGCAUCCGUAGCCGGUUCUACAAGUCUUCCGUUAAAUCCCCCUGCUUAACAGAUGGGCUGCGGAAGAUACUAUAGAGCUAGGAGGCGGGAGAGGCAAGCGGUACUCGAUGGGUAGGGGUAAAAUCCGUUGAUCCAUUGAAGACCACCAGUGGCGAAGGCGGCUUGCCAGAACGCGCUCGACGGUGAGGGAUGAAAGCUGGGGGAGCAAACCGG
rnacentral:rRNA from 1 species